rfam:Salmo salar isolate Sally breed double haploid chromosome ssa01, whole genome shotgun sequence.
AAUGCACCAAUUUGUAAGUCGCUCUGGACAAGAGCGUCUGCUAAAUGACUUAAA